AACGAACGCUGGCGGCAUGCCUAACACAUGCAAGUCGAACGAGACCUUCGGUCUAGUGGCGCACGGGUGCGUAACGCGUGGGAAUCUGCCCUUGGGUUCGGAAUAACAGUUAGAAAUGACUGCUAAUACCGGAUAAUGUCUUCGGACCAAAGAUUUAUCGCCCAGGGAUGAGCCCGCGUAGGAUUAGCUAGUUGGUGAGGUAAAGGCUCACCAAGGCGACGAUCCUUAGCUGGUCUGAGAGGAUGAUCAGCCACACUGGGACUGAGACACGGCCCAGACUCCUACGGGAGGCAGCAGUGGGGAAUAUUGGACAAUGGGCGAAAGCCUGAUCCAGCAAUGCCGCGUGAGUGAUGAAGGCCUUAGGGUUGUAAAGCUCUUUUACCCGGGAUGAUAAUGACAGUACCGGGAGAAUAAGCUCCGGCUAACUCCGUGCCAGCAGCCGCGGUAAU
rnacentral:rRNA from 1 species